GUGAACGCUGGCGGUAGGCCUAACCCCUGCAAGUCGCACGGCAGCACAGUAAGAGCUUGCUCUUACGGGUGGCGAGUGGCGGACGGGUGAGGAAUACAUCGGAAUCUACUUUUUCGUGGGGGAUAACGUAGGGAAACUUACGCUAAUACCGCAUACGACCUACGGGUGAAAGCAGGGGAUCUUCGGACCUUGCGCGAUUGAAUGAGCCGAUGUCGGAUUAGCUAGUUGGCGGGGUAAAGGCCCACCAAGGCGACGAUCCGUAGCUGGUCUGAGAGGAUGAUCAGCCACACUGGAACUGAGACACGGUCCAGACUCCUACGGGAGGCAGCAGUGGGGAAUAUUGGACAAUGGGCGCAAGCCUGAUCCAGCCAUACCGCGUGGGUGAAGAAGGCCUUCGGGUUGUAAAGCCCUUUUGUUGGGAAAGAAAAGCAGCAGGUUAAUACCCCGCUGUUCUGACGGUACCCAAAGAAUAAGCACCGGCUAACCUCGUG
rnacentral:rRNA from 1 species